rnacentral:rRNA from 1 species
AUUGAACGCUGGCGGCAGGCCUAACACAUGCAAGUCGAGCGGAUGACGGGAGCUUGCUCCUUGAUUCAGCGGCGGACGGGUGAGUAAUGCCUAGGAAUCUGCCUGGUAGUGGGGGACAACGUUUCGAAAGCAACGCUAAUACCGCAUACGUCCUACGGGAGAAAGCAGGGGACCUUCGGGCCUUGCGCUAUCAGAUGAGCCUAGGUCGGAUUAGCUAGUGGGUGGGGUAAUGGCUCACCAAGGCGACGAUCCGUAACUGGUCUGAGAGGAUGAUCAGUCACACUGGAACUGAGACACGGUCCAGACUCCUACGGGAGGCAGCAGUGGGGAAUAUUGGACAAUGGGCGAAAGCCUGAUCCAGCCAUGCCGCGUGUGUGAAGAAGGUCUUCGGAUUGUAAAGCACUUUAAGUUGGGAGGAAGGGCAGUAAGCUAAUACCUUGCUGUUUUGACGUUACCGACAGAAUAAGCACCGGCUAACUCUGUGCCAGCAGCCGCAGUAA